CCGGCCUUGGCCACCUCCCGCGGGCAGCAGCUGGUCCGUAGAUUGAGUAGGGGAGUCCAGAUUGCUGGUUCCAGCAGCCAGGCCUCUCCGAAGCCGCUCCAGGCUCUCGGCAGUCACCAACGCCGAAAGCACUGCGGGCCUGGUCCCUUCGGUUAUCCGUGCUCUAAACCAGAGAUCUCCGCCCAUGUCUUCGUCUGAGUUUCAGAAACCUGCUUCUUUGCCUACCCACAAAUCAAGGAGUCUGAGGCUUCAUGUGUGGUUGGGCUGGUUUUAGGAGGAAGCUUACCUAUCGCCUAUUUGGCCAAGCGCCACUGUGGGAUUGUUCCUUUGGGUGAUCAGUAUCGGGCCUAGGACCUCAGUAGACAGUCACCACCCAGGCCACACCUUUGUUCUCCCUCAACAGCUGCCUGACAACCUGCUUCCCCACAACAAAACUGCCUCAGGGUUAGGGCUCUCCCCAGGGGAGGGUAGGGGGAACACUUCCUGACACCAGCCAGGUCACCCCUCCCCCCCGUCCCUGCCAGGGCCACACCCUGCUCUCCUGUCUCAGCCUGCCUCUCACACGCUCUGUCCUUCCGCCCUCUCAC